rnacentral:rRNA from 1 species
UACGUAGGGUGCGAGCGUUGUCCGGAAUUAUUGGGCGUAAAGGGCUCGUAGGCGGUUUGUCGCGUCGGGAGUGAAAUCCACUGGCUUAACUGGUGGCUUGCUUUCGAUACGGGCAGACUGGAGGUAUGCAGGGGAGAACGGAAUUCCUGGUGUAGCGGUGGAAUGCGUAGAUAUCCGGAAGAACACCGGAGGCGAAGGCGGCUUGCUGGACCUGGUCUGACGCUGAGGCGCGAAAGCGUGGGGAGCGAACAGG